UCCAUUGCAUGAUGUAGGACUUAUUCCCAGGUAAAUGUAAAUAGCAGUGUAUGCUAACUGAUGUUCUGCCAAAAUGUGUUCCUGCCAAUUGCCCUGGGAUUCUGCACUCUUCAUCACCAUUCCAAUAAUACAUUAAAAUAUGACCCUCUUAUCUGCAGAUUUGAUAUCCACGGUUUCAUUUAUUCCCCCUGCCAAAUUUUCCCCACCCACCAAAAGUGUUUGUGGGUCUCUCCAGCAUUUUAGGGGUAUGUUUCCAGCUCAAGUAGAGUAAAAAGAGAGUUUGCUAUUAUCACCGUUUCAAGUAUCAUAUGUGUGUGUGUGUGUGUGUGUGUGUGUGUGUGUGUAAUUGAACGUUUUGUCUGUUUUAAAUUAGUUUUAGUGUUGUUAAUUAUUCAUUGUUAAAUAAUAGUAUGUUUAAUUCUAUUUUAAUGUUUAUACUAUUUUAUAAUAAUAAUAAUAAUAAUAAUAAUAACAACAACAACAACAACAACAACAACAACAACAACAACCUUUCUUACCCACCUCUCCUUGUAGAUUUUAAAUUGUAUAUAGUACAGUUUUUCCAACUGUUCACUUUGGGUCACUUUAGGAGAGAAUAAUGCUAUAUAAUAAUAGUAGUAAUAAUAAUAAUAAUAAUAAUAAUAAUAAUAAUAAUAAUAAUAAUCCCCGCUGAUACGGAGACCAUACUGUGUAUACAGGAUGCAGUAUGAUCCUCUGAUACAGUUUGCUCCUCGUCCUCUUCAAUUACUUUCUCAAAGACAGAUCGGUUGACAUGCUCAUGAGGUUAGUGGUUUUGGAUUGAUGCCUGAUCUUGAUGAAUGCUAAGAUUACACCUUGGAACCAAAGUGCAGAUUAAAGAAGGAAUUGCCAAUUCUCAGUUUUAAAUAUACAUAUAUUGGAAAAUUCAGGAGACAAGGAAAUGUAUCAAACUACAGGCACUACCUAAACCUCUUAACUGUUAUUAUUUGUCUUCAGGUCAUUUGUAGCCUAUGGUAACCCUAAGAGAACUUAUCAUGGCAUUUUCAUGGCAAGAUUUGUUUAGAGGGAUUUGACUUUGUCUUCCUCUGAGAUGGCAAAGUGUGACUUGCCUUUGGUUACCUAGUGAAUUUCCAUGGCCAUGUGGAGAUUCCAACCCUGUUCGUUAGAAUCAAACCAGGCUGGCUCUCUCUUAAUCUCUUACAGAGUGUGAAAUGAAUCACAUAGCAAUUCUUCUAAUAAAAAAGAGUUUAAUUUCAAGAAUAUAGAAUAAACUUUUAGAAGAUAACCAAGGAAAAACUUCAAAAAUCUUUGGGAAUCAUAUUUCAAUAUCUACAUUUCAUACACUAUUUGGGAAGGUCAAGUCUAUUUUUCCCUUGUUCAGGAAGAAACAUAUAAAGCUAUUUACAGACAACAGUGCUGCCCUUCUAAUUGUUCACUUUUGCAAAAACAUCCCUCCUUUGUGCUGGAGAGAUUAUUGAGAAUGCGUCACUCUAGCAGAUAUAUGGCUGUUUUGUUUAAAAGUUAAGGUUUUAGGAGGAGGCUCUAUAGCUUCUGGUGGAAAUCAUCACUGACAAAAUCAUAUGAAAAAAUUGUUGCUACCUUCUGGAUCAAAAAUUGGAAAUGAAACAUCAACAUUAAUUUCAAUAUAACUAAUGGCAGCAUGAACACAAAUAGCACAAAAUUGUAAUGUUCGCUCAUAACCGAGGCAUACAUUCUUUACUAAGUUGAAUCUUAGAUCUUUCUGUAAAUGAAAAGUAGACAACAGAGAUAAGAUACACCAAUAAAGUGAUCCAAAAGUAUGGCAAUGACAGCGUUUCAUAGAUUUUCUCCAUAGACUAGGGAUCCCAAAGGACUAGGGAUAGUUCCCUCAUCAUGUUGAAGGUGAUGGAUUGAUCUUCUUUCCUAACAGAUUAGUGUUGUACACAAGAACUCAUACUUAUGGGACAGGUCACUGACAGAUUCAAACUUGGCUGAAAACAGUGAGAAAAGGGAGAGGCGAGAAGUGCUCCCACCCCAUUAUCCCUCCCUUGCCAAGCCAUAGAAAAAAAUGCAGCCGUCCUCAUCUUUUUUGGCCUGAGCGGAGUUGAGAAGCAAAGCAAGGGUACCAUUUUGGACACUUGAGGUGAAGUGGAGUGGUGAUACUUGGGGAGCAAGAGCUGCAUCUAGAAUGAUUUUCCCCCCAGUUUUUAAAAAAAUUUGAUUGUCAUUCUUCUUUUCUACAAGACUGAUAAAUUUGUGUGCUCAAGCUUGAGAGGGCUGUUUGAACAAGUACUUGUUGAGAAGGAACCUGAUAACUCUGGGAUUGUUGAGAAGGUAGUGUGACAAAAGAGAGGCAUACAAGGGAAUGUUAUGGAUGUAGCAUAUCUUUAUUUCAGGAAGGCCUUUGACAAGGUCCCCCAUUAUCUUCUUUCAAACAAACUAGUAAAAUGUGGGCUAGACAACACUACUGUUAGGUGGAUUUAUAAUUGGUUAAGUGACUGAACCAAAAGGGCGCUCAUCAAUGGUUUCUCUUCAUCCUGGAAAAAAGUGAUUAGUGGAGCACUUCAGGGUUCGUUUCUGGGUCUAGUCCUGUUCAACAUUUCUAGUAAUGAUUUUGACGAAGGUUAGAUGCCAUGCUUACCAAGUUUGCAGAUGACACCAAAUUGGGAUGGAUAGCUAAUACUCCAGAGGACAGGAUCAGAAUUCAAAAUGACAUCAAAAAGAUUAGAGAGCAUGGCCAAAUAAAAUGAAUUUCAACAAGGAAAAGUGUAGGAUACUUCACUUAGGCAGAAAAAAAAUGAAAUGCAGAGAUACAUGAUGGUUGACAUCUGGCUCAACAGCAGUACAUGUGAAAAAGAUCUUGGAGUCUUAGUGGACAACAAGUGAAAUAUGAGCCAAUAAAGUGCAGCAGCUAAAAAAGCCAAUGGGAUUUUGGGCUGCAACAAAAGGAGUGUAGUGUCUAGAACAAGGGAAGUCAUGGUGCCUUUCUAUUCUGCUUUGGUGAGACCUCACCUGGAAUACUGUGUCCAAUUCUGGGCACCACAGUUCAAGAGAGAUAUCGACAAGCUGGAGGGUGUCCAGAGGAAGGCAACUAAAAUGAUCAAAGGUCUGGACACCAUGUCCUGUGUGAAGCAGCUUAAAGAACUGGGUAUGUUUAGCCCGUAGAAGAGAAGGUUGAGAGGAGACAUGAUAGCCAUGUAUAAAUAUUCGAAAGGAUGGAAGAGGGAGCAAGCUUUUUUUUUGCUGUCCUAGAGACUAGGACUUGGAGCAAUGAGUUCAAAUUAUAGGAAAGCAGAUUCUACUUGAACAUUAGGAAUAACCUCCUGAACACAAGAGUUGUUCAAUAGUGGAAAUAGUCUUUGAGUGUAGUGGAAGCUCCUCCUUUGGAGGCUUUUAAACAGAGGCUGAAUGGCCAUAUGUCAGGGACACUUUGUGUUUUUCCUGCACGGCAAAGGGUUGGACUAGAUGGCCCAUGUGGUCUCUUCCAAUUCUGUAAUUUUAUGAUUCUAACAGGCAAAGAAACUUGAUUAAGUGUAUAGAUGGUCCCUUGCUGGAUUGGAGCUCCUGUAUGAAAGUGCAGCUGUAAUUAAACCAAUCAAGUGUAUCAUUCAUAAUAUGUACUCUAAAGAAACAGCAAGCAGGUUGUUGUUAAACAAGUAUGUCUUCAGCAGAGUUAAAAAUGUUGUAUUGAGGCAACAGUGGUGGUUGUUCUGUAAACUAUUUUAGAAAAGUUAGUGGGAAAAUGCAGACUAGUACAAAGGUAGGAAAAAUCUAAAAGAAUAAUUUAUAAGUAAUAGCCAAGUUAGUCUGUAACAAGAAAUCAACAAAGAGUUCUUUGAUACAUAAAGAUCAAUAAUUUAAUUAUAGCAUUUGUGAUAUGAUACUACUGCACAUAUAACUGUAAUGUUGACUUCAUAUAUAAGUUAAGGACAGGUUUGAGGAUCAAAAUUAUGGACUUUAAUAUGGCCCAUGAAUUUGUCAAGUAUUAUUCUGCAGAGAGGAGAAAGCACCAAUGCCACUUCGGGGGGGGGGGGGGGGAUUUCCCACCACGCAUUCAAAAACACGAGAGUGGUACCAUGGCGGAGAAAAGAUCAGUGCUUGUUUUAAGUUCUCCCAAGAUGGAUUAAGCACUUGCCUUUCACCACUCUACCCAGAAAAGGUGAUGGUUUCUUUUUAAAUAAAGAGUUAAGGUACAGUACUCAAACUGACCUGUGGAUAAAUCGACCCAGGUUUUUGGAAUUGAUUUUGGACUAAAAUUUCUAGACUCAUACAUGAAUAUAUGGGGUGUAUAUGUUAAGAAUCACUAGUCAGAGGUUUAAUAUAAUGGUUUACAUCAGAUAUUUCACAAGCCACAAUACCUACCCUUAGGAGUUUUUUUUCCAUGUCAGGAACAACAUGAAAAAUUGCAAGUCUCUUCUGGUGUGAGAGAAUUGGCCCUCUGCAAGGACGUUGCCCAAGGGAUGCCCGGAUGUUUGAUGGUUUACCAUCCUGUGGGAGGCUUCUCUCAUGUCCUAGCAUGGGGAGCUAGAGCUGACAGACAGGAGCUCCCCCGCUCCCCCGAUUCGAACCACCGACCUUUUGGUCAGCAGUCCUGCAGCACAAGGGUUUAACCCAUUGUGCCACCAGGGGCUCCAUUCUUAGGAAUGAAAUAAAUAAAUAAAAAUAGUCAGAGCCAGAUUAGCACCCAGGAAUGAUUUACUACAAUACCAUUUUAGAAGAGAAAAUUACAAAAUACAAUUUCUCACAUAUAGCAUGCAGCUAAAAAACACUGUCAUCAGUGAGCAAUAGCUCAUUUUGGACAAUGAACUUUCCUUCUCAUGGCUUGGGUGGUAGGUCUGUACUUGUCUACAGACAAUGUUACAAUUUGAAACAACUAGGAUGGGGUCCAGAAGCACAUUGAUCAGAAAUUGCAACAAGUCCUUUUAAUCUAUUUUUCUGAUACCAUUACAAGAAUUAAUAAUGACAUCCACAACAUUAGGGAUUUAUUCGCACAAAUGUCUUCCAUCAUCUUCAGUUAACAGUUCUCUUCUAUAUAGGGCAAACAGGAUGAUCUUUGAGCAAAAGGGUAAAUGGCUAUUAGAAGUGGCAAUAAUUAAAAAUACAAAUAUAAAAUCAUUUGGAGAAAAUUUCAGCCAAGUGAAUUUGUCCUUGACCUUAACUAGACUUUCUGAAGCAAAGAAUGUUUGAAGGACUGCUGAGUUUAUUGUUUAUCGAAACUGUUCAAUUUAUCACAAGUUUUAAAUCAUUUCUUAUUACCAUAUUGUGUCAGUUGGCUAAGCUAGUACCAGUUUGUGCAAGUACAUUUUGUAUUGAUGAAAGCAACAUGUUGCAAGUGUCUUCCUUUCAGAAAAAUAUCAGGCCAUAGUGUAAAGUGUUUUUUCCUCAAAAUGAACGUCAAUGCAUUUUGAGGCUGGGCUUCAGCACAGCAGGUUAAACCACCAGCUGCAGUAAAUCUCGUCAGUCCAAAGAUUGUCAGUUUGAAGUCCAGGUCACUGAGCUCCUGGCCUUUAGCCCAGCUUCCAUCAACCUAGCAGCUCAAAAGUGGAGAUAAAUAGGUACCGCUCAAAAGCGGGGAGGUAUUUUAAGGCACCCAUAAGGAAAUGCCAGGGAAAUGCCGGUGAUUUGACCAAGGAGGAAGUUUAUGAACAAAAUUCUUUGGCAGGGAGAUGGAGAGACAGCAGCCCCCGUGGCUGAAACCGAGCACAAGCCUCUGAGAUGCUGAAGAUGGGAAAAACCUAUAUAUACCUCUUUCUGUGUACAAUUGUCUGUCUUGUCUGUGUUUAAACAGCAUUGAAUGUUUGCCGCAUAUGUAUGUUCUGUGAUCUACCCUGAGUCCCUUUCGGGAUGAGAAAAGUGGAAUAUAAAAACUGUAAAUAAAUAAAUAAAUACAUUUCUAGGACAUAUUUCAAGGAAUUAUUUUGGGGUAGUGUUUUUCUUUGUUUUCUUUGCUUCACUGCCCAUCUCUCUGCCCUUCUUCCAUCAUUUUAGCUUGAUUUUUCCAUUCUGUGGUGGAUGGUGAUAGCUGUGGUAGUGACCAGCAUAAAGAAGCAAUGACAAUAAAAAAUAGGAUGGAAGGAAGGAGGAGCAAAAAGAGGAAGCAAGUGGUACCAAAGCACAUGAAGGAAGGGAGAGCUCAGAAGAAAACUGGGAGUAGGAGAAAAAAUGUGUGAUGCGUGGAAUGUGAAAAGAGGGUGCUGAAGAAGAGAGACAUAAGAAAAGGAGGGAAUCACAGAAGAUGAAACAGAGAUGUGCAGAAGAGUGGAGAAGGCAAACAGAAGAGGGAAAAAAUGACAGAUGAAUGGACAGACAUACAGCAAAAGAGAGUGGAAAAAGCCAAAAGGCACAUAAGAGAGUGAAUGAAGAAAUGAUAAGAAAAGCUCAUAGGGCUCUGAAGAACUGUAACGAUGACACCCGGGCAAUAGAAGAAUUAGGGGACAUUUUAAAAAGUAUGCAUGUGAGAGAGAGAGGGGGGGGGGAGGGACUGUUAGCUGAUCAAAAAGUAACAGGAUUUAUAAAAUCUGGAAAUAUUUUGUAUAUAAUAUAAUUAAUUUCCAAUAAUUUGCUAAGCCAAAAAUUACUUGAAGAUAUUAACAUAUUAAAAGACUAUUGUAACUAUAGAGAGAUAUGCUCAACUAAGGUCAUUGGAGAAAAUAUGGGAUGAAAGUAUAAUAAUAAGUAAAUAUGUGGGUUUUCUCCAAACAGGAGUUCUCCCACAAAACAUGAAGGAUUUCACUUCAGUAUUAUUCACUGAUAACUGAUUGAUAACUGGCAAAUAGAGGGAGAAAACAUGAAGGCAGUGACAGACUUUGUAUUUCUCGGAGCAAAGAUUACUGCAGAUGCAAUCUGCAGCCAGGAAAUCAGAAGAAGUUUACUUCUUGGGAGGAGAGCAAUGACCCAUCUCAAUAAAAUGGUGAAGAGUAGAGACAACAUAUUUGUAAUGAAGGUUCGCAUAGUUAAAGCAAUGGUAUUCCCCAUAGUAAUGUAUGAAUGCGAGAGCUGGACCAUAAAGAAGGCUGAGCGAAGGAAGAUAGAUGCUUUUGAACUGUGAUGUUGAAGGAAAAUUCUGAGAGUGCCUUGUACUGCAAGAAGAUCGAACCAGUCCAUAUUCCAGGAAACAAUGCCCGGAUGCUCACUGGAGGGAAGGAUAUUAGAGGCAAAUAUGAAGUACUUUGGCCACAUAAUGAAAAGACAGGAAAGCUUGGAGAAGAGAAUGAUGCUGGGGAAAAUGGAAGGAAAAAGGAAGAGGGGCCAACCAAAGGCAAGAUGGAUGGAUGGUAUCCCUGAAGUGACUGGCUUGACUUUGAAGGAACUGGGAGUGGUGAUGGCUGACAGGGAGCUCUGGCAUGGGCUGGUCUAUGUGGUCACAAAGAGUCGGAAGCGACUGAAUGAAGAAACAACAUUACGAAUUAAUCAUAAUGAGAAUUCAGCAUAUUUGAUGAACAUAAGAAAUCAUACUUGCUUGUGAUUAAUAUAUGUGUCUGCUCCAACAUCAUGUGCUUUUUAAUGAAUGGAAAUAGAUAUAGGAAUCUACAUGAUUAGAUUAUGACCCUUUAGAUUCUCAGGAAUAAGUGAACUUAAACUAAAAAAAAUUAUCAGAGUUAUUUAUCCUCUUUCUAGAGUUGAGGCUGCAACUACUGUUGCUGUUGGAAGUACCAUUACUGUUAAUGAAAGAUGUGAACUGUUGCAAGAGCAACAUCCACCUCCUUCUGACUUCACCAAGGAUAUACCAGUAGUCUUGUAUGGGGUUCAGGAAAUCCAUAAAGGGAAAAAACAAAACAAAAAGAGAGGUAUUGCCACCCAACUCCAAAUAUUGAGAAAUUCAAAGAAUGAGAAUCUCCACAUCCAAUGACACUAAGCAUUGUGUUGUUGAAGGCUUUCAUGGCCAGAAUCAUUGGAUUGCUUUGAGUUUUUCGGGCUGUAUGGCCAUGUCCCAGCAGUAUUCUCCUAAUAUUUCGCUUGCAUCUGUGGCUAGAAUCUUCAGAGGUUCUGUUGCGUGUGAAGCAUGUGGAGUAUAUAUAUACCUAUGGAAUGUUCAGGGUGCGAAAAAGAACCCCUGUCUGUUAAAAGCAGGUGUGAAUGUUGCAAUUAGUAAGCUUGAAUUAGCAUUUGAGUAGGCAUGAAGUUGAGUAGCCUCUGUAGCACAGCGGGUUAAACCGCUGAGCUGUUGAACUUGCUGACUGAAAGCUUGCAGGUUUGAAUCUGGGGAGCAGGGUGAACUCCUGCUGUUAGCCCCAGCUUCUGUCAACCUAGCAGUUUGAAAACGUGCAAAUGUGAGUAGAUCAGUAGGUACCAUUCCAGCAGGAAGAUAAUGGCACUCCAUGAAGUCAUGCUGGCCGCAUAACCUUGGAAGUGUCUACGGACAGCGCUGGCUCUUUGGCUUGGAAAUGGAGGUGAGCACCAACCCCCAGAGACAAACACGACUAGACUUAAUGUCAGGGGAAAACCUUCACCUUUACCUUUAGCCAUGAAGUUUACAAAGUCAAUCAGUGAGGAUAUCUGCAUAGAGGUAGCCUGGCUUUUGUUACCUGGAGGCAUCCUCUGUUUGAGAGGUGUUAACUGACUCUUGAUUUCUUGUUGUCAGAAGUUCUGUUUUUGCGUGGUGUUCGUUAUUGACUGUCUUGAUUCUGAUGUCAGAGCACACGAUAAACCAACCUGGACACAGAAUAUUAUUUGGGAAUGCAGAAAUUCUGGGCCACUUUGUCAGACUACACAGAGAAAACAUUGAAAUUCACAAGUAUGUGGACAAUUUGAACAGAAAGGAGGAAACCAUGAAAAUGAACAAAACCUGGUUAUCAGUAUUAAAAAAACACCAGAAUCAAGACAGUAAAUAAUUAACACCACUCAGAAACAGGAGAACUCCUGGCUACUCAAAUAUUAAUUCAAGCUUCCUGACUGCAACAUUCACACUUGCUUUAAACAGACAAGGGUUUUUUCUCCCAUCUUGGACAUUCCACAGGUAUGUGUAUGUGUGUGUGUGUACACAUACACAUGCACACACACUCCACUUGCUUCACUGCCAACAGAAUCUCUGAAGAUGCCAGCCACAGAUGCAGGUGAAAUGUUAGUAGAGAAUGCUGCUAGGACAUGGCCAAUCAGCCCAAAAAUCUCACAGCAACACACUAAGAUGGUAUGUUCUUUCUAGGUUGUUCUUUGGUAUGUAGGCAACAAUAAUUUGAUGCUUUGAAGUGAUGAAUGCAAAACACUUUUGCAAUUGUCUUUUAGGUUCUUUAAAACUUUUUUUGUCUUUCAGAAAGUAUAUUCUAAAAAAUUAGAAGAAUUGGUCUUGUUGGGAUUUUAUGCCAAUAUUUAUCUUUUUUGUUGUAGAAGGCAUUGAAUGUAUGCUGUUGUUUGUUGGAAUCCACCCUGAGUCCCUUCAGUGAGAUAGGGUGGAACAGAAAUAAAGUUUUAUUAUUAUUAAUUAUUAUUAUGUUAUUGAAAGAGGAAAGAUACAAGGGUAUGAUCAUAUCAAAGGGAUGGUGGCUCCCCAAGGAAGCAGAAAACACAUUUGGGAUUGAGCAAUGAUGCAGCCAAUUGUAGAAAGUGAAGCAUUACUGAACAACAGCUAGUACGGAGAAGCUAGAAACGUCUGUAAAUAAGCAAAGUGACAAGACCAGAUAUAUCAGCAGUUGCUGGGAUUUUAUGCAGAAGAACAUCAACUAAAUGUGACAGGAACAUAGUAAAAAAGGUAACCAAGUGUCUGUAGGGGAAAUGCACAUCUGAAAGUUACGGUAAAUAAAAGCAGCUAACAACCCUAAACUACAAAGGAUAUGUCAAUCCAGAUUAAGACAAUUAUGUCAUUGGCUGCAGGUCUACAAGGUGGUAUCUAUUUUUUUUAUAGAGCUGGAACAAUUGGUUGUACCACACAGAAGAAGAAUAUCUUCCAGCACUGGAAGCAUGCAAAUAACUAUGGUUGCUAUUAAACUUUGGAAUAGAAGAGCUAAUCCCAACAAGAGAUAUAUGCAAAUAACCAAGGAUGUGUGAAGAUCUUUCAAUCAGAGACUACCAGUCCUCAUCUUAAACAUGUUGAAACAAGAUAUAAUUUCAUACUUUUAUUAAAUACAAUAGAAGAAGUGGGGUGUUGUGUGGUUUCUGGGUUCUUAGUUCUUACCAAGCCAUUGCCCAGGGACUGUUAGGAAGCUCUGCAAGAGGAGAUGAAAGUAUAUAUGUGUUGUUGAGAAGAGGUGCUAGAAGUGCAACAAUGCUAACUGCUUAAGAGUCAAGAAUACUCCAGAGCGGGCAGUAAUAAGAGAUAGUCUAAGUGAGCCAAAGUGUCCUCUCUCCUGGACUAUCUGUUCUGACUAACAUAGCGAUGUACCCUGAUGCUCUUGGAGAUAUUUCUCUGAUUUUCCCUAGCUAGAUUAGAUUCGCAUCCUGAGUAAUUUUCCUAUUAAAAUUGAGUUCUUAUAAUAAAGCCUUUAGUUGGUUCUCCAAACCAUUGGUGUCUAUGUUCCUUAAUCAGAAUUCCAAAUUGCUGAAAACACACAAUCAGGCUUGAGUGCAAGUAAUUCAGUAUUCUGUUUUCUUCCCAGUACUGACCAAUGCAGAUUCAGCUCCAAAUAAUCAUUUAAUCCUUCCUCUCUCUGAAACUCUUCAUGCUGACAUCUGUCAUCACUACAAGCAGGGUGUAAUGCUUUCAAGCUCAAACAAGCCAGUCCUUGCUAGAAGCCUUUUGGAGACUGAAUUAAAAUAUGCCAGCAGUAUGGAAGAGAGCUACAAUGGUGAGACUCAAGAAAGAAAACAUUUAUUAGGGACAAAAGAUUUUAUGCAAACCUGCUUCAAUGACAUGCAAGAAAAAAAAGAUUAAGGAGGAAGUCUGCAGUUACCCGAGUAUAAACAGCAUGGAAUGAUCUUCCUUCCUUGUCAGUUUCAUUAGGUAUGCCAUGUCUUUUUCAAGCAUGACACAGACAUGUCAUCCAAAUGCAGUGGCUGUAUGCCUCAGUACUGCUGGCAAUGUCAUGACUGAUAGAAGAUCUAGAUGAUCAACUAAAGGACUACGAUUGAUAAACUGAAGAUGGAUGUAUUUAUCAUGGAUAUUGUGCAUCCUCAAGGGAAGAAGAAAAAUGCCUGAGAAAUUUCUUGCAACGAAUGCUCAAAUAGCAUGACUUAUGGUCAGGAAAUAUGCACCAUGAUACAUAUUGACUGAUUUUCUGGCAAGAGAAGAUUGGCUGUUGAUUCUGACUUCACCUGGAUAGCACACUCCCAUCACACUUAGAGGCACCAGACUUCUUGGAGACAGAGAACAUGCUUUGCAGCACCUGUAGUUCUGUCCCUUACGAGAGAUGUGACUCAGGAAGAAGACUGACUCAGGAAGAACAGCAGUGCUGGAAGGCUGCUACCUCUGACCUCCAUCACCUAUUGCCUCACCUGUCUAUGCCUAAGGAAAGUGCCAACCCUGAAGGACAUUCUAGAAAUAGCACUCCUGCAAUAGGUAUUGCAAGUGUGACGCUGUGUGAAGAGGUUUCUGCAUCCACAGAUUCAAACAUCCACAUCUUGAAAACAUUACAAAGAAAUCCAAAAGGCUAAUCUUUAUAUUUGGGUCAUUCCGUGCCAAGUGGUCUAAAUUUUAAAAAAGUUCCCACCAUCAUGUUCUCCAAUUUUGUUCAAAUGUUAGCUGUAGCGCCAGUCAGUUGUUAAAUGAAGUUUCCCAAAAUGUGAGGUCUCUAACUGCAAUAGCUGCUGAUCUAGACCCCCUUAUCUGAAGGGUAAUCAGUCAGCAUGCACAUGACAUUUAAGAAAAUGCCAUUUUGGGGUCUAAUAAAAUUUAAACUAAAUGUAUAGGAAUGGCUAGUAAAUUGAAAUCCUAUACAGUUUUUUUUCUGCUGAUUCCAAUGAAAUUAAUUUUAACAUUA